UUCACUCCCAUUUCUCCAAUGAAGAGGAUAACAGGAAGGAAACUAAAAGCCACCUUCUUUGGAGGUUGGAGGAGUGUGAAGAGUGUACCAGAACUGGUGUAUGAUUAUAUGGCAAAGAAAUCUGAUUUAGAUGCCUCUAGCUCACGUAUUUUGCCAUUUUAGAAAAUCACAGAGGCUUCUGACCUUAUGAUUGAAGGAAAGAGGUAAGUUAUCAACAAAUUAAAUCUAUUACUCUGUUGAUGAAGCGAUUUUAAUUAUAUAAGCUGAACAUUUUGUAAUGCUAUCCUUAGAAUGUAUCAUUUGGAGCACAUUUAAAAGGGGAAAGAAUAAACAAGCAUCUUCAACUGUUCCAAGAAAACCAAUCUCAUCCYUGACACUAAUCUAUAUCUAAAUAGGAAAAUUAACACACCACCAAGGUGGCUGGGCAUUUCCACAAGCUUAGGUACUCUGCACUCACUCUGCACUGAGGAAAUCUAACGCGUGCCAGAAUUAGUACAAUUUCAAACUGAAGCACAGUUUUGAGUGCACAGGAAACAGCAAGUGAAUUUGAAUAAGGAAUCAGCCUGCAGAAGUUAAAAUGGUAUCUCAUACCCCAACGGACUGCAGUAAUUUCCUGCAAACCUCUACCUUUCUCAAGAAAUUUUAUUGCUGAAUUAUAUAACCAUUAUAUACUCACGGGAUAGAGUAAUAACAUUUUCAACUCCUAUAUUAUAAAAUAUGUAAGAAUGGAGGAGACAGAAGGGGUGGGGAGAGCAAUUUAAAAGGCCACAGAAUUCUCUUUCUUAGAAGCUGUUUGAAAAUAUUUUGUCUUCU